rnacentral:rRNA from 1 species
UAGAGUUUGAUCAUGGCUCAGAUUGAACGCUGGCGGCAGGCUUAACACAUGCAAGUCGAACGGUAACGGGGAGCAGCUUGCUGCUCUGCCGACGAGUGGCGGACGGGUGAGUANAGCCUGGGGAUCUGCCUGAUGGAGGGGGACAACCACUGGAAACGGUGGCUAAUACCGCGUAAAGUCGAGAGACCAAAGUGGGGGACCUUAGGGCCUCACGCCAUCAGAUGAACCCAGGUGGGAUUAGCUAGUAGGUGAGGUAAGGGCUCACCUAGGCGACGAUCUCUAGCUGGUCUGAGAGGAUGACCAGCCACACUGGAACUGAGACACGGUCCAGACUCCUACGGGAGGCAGCAGUGGGGAAUAUUGCGCAAUGGGGGGAACCCUGACGCAGCCAUGCCGCGUGUAUGAAGAAGGCCUUCGGGUCGUAAAGUACUUUCGGUAAUGAGAAAGGGUCAGAUUAAUAAAAUGGUCUGGCAUUGAUAUUAGUUACAGAAGAAGCACCGGCUAACUCCGUGCCAGCAGCCGCGGUAAUACGGGGGGUGCAAGCGUUAAUCGGAAUGACUGGGCGUAAAGGGCAUGUAGGCGGUUAAUUAAGUUGGAUGUGAAAGCCCCGGGCUCAACCUGGGAACAGCAUACAAAACUGGUUAGCUAGAGUACUGUAGAGGAAGGUAGAAUUUCCACGUGUANCGGUGAAAUGCGUANAGAUGUGGAGGAAUACCGGUGGCGGAGGCGGCCUUCUGGGCAGUAACUGACGCUGAGAUGCGAAAGCGUGGGGAGCAAACAGGAUUAGAUACCCUGGUAGUCCACGCUGUAAACGAUGUCGAUUUGGAGGUUGUGGUCAUGAACUGUGGCUUCCGAAGCUAACGCGAUAAAUCGACCGCCUGGGGAGUACGGCCGCAAGGUUAAAACUCAAAUGAAUUGACGGGGGCCCGCACAAGCGGUGGAGCAUGUGGUUUAAUUCGAUGCAACGCGAAGAACCUUACCUGGUCUUGACAUCCAUAGAAUUCNUCAGAGAUGGUGAAGUGCCUUCGGGAGCUAUGAGACAGGUGCUGCAUGGCUGUCGUCAGCUCGUGUUGUGAAAUGUUGGGUUAAGUCCCGCAACGAGCGCANCCCUUAUACUUUGUUACCAGCAUGUAAUGGUGGGGACUCAAGGUAGACUGCCGGUGAUAAACUGGAGGAAGGUGGGGACGAUGUCAAGUCAUCAUGGCCCUUACGACCAGGGCUACACACGUGCUACAAUGGCGCAUACAGAGGGAGGCGAAGGUGCGAACUGGAGCGGAUCUCAGANAGUGCGUCUAAGUCCGGAUUGGAGUCUGCAACUCGACUCCAUGAAGUCGGAAUCGCUAGUAAUCGCAAAUCAGAAUGUUGCGGUGAAUACGUUCCCGGGCCUUGUACACACCGCCCGUCACACCAUGGGAGUGGAUCGCAAAAGAAGUAGGUAGCUUAACCGUAAGGGGGGCGCUUACCACUUUGUGGUUCAUGACUGGGGUGAAGUCGUAACAAGGUA